AGCCCAUGGUGAGGGCAUCUUCUUAAGAGGUCCUUGCAUCUCUCCCAUGCGUGAUAGAGUGUCUCUAGAUCCAUCUACACAAAAGAAGAGAUAUCAUUCCUCAAUUU
rfam:Gossypium arboreum cultivar AKA8401 contig_100337_1, whole genome shotgun sequence.